ACGAUUGUGAUGAAAUUGGCAAACAUGGUUGAUUUAGGUUCAGCUGGUAGUAAUACCUUGCAGGUUCAAGUCCUGCCAAUCGUA
rfam:Lichtheimia corymbifera JMRC:FST:9682, FST 9682, WGS project CBTN01000000 data, contig: SCAF00098